UACGAAGGGGGCGAGCGUUGUUCGGAAUUACUGGGCGUAAAGCGCGCGUAGGCGGUGAUCUUUGUCAGAGGUGAAAGCCCGGGGCUCAACUCCGGAAUUGCCUUUGAAACGGGAUCGCUAGAGUCCGAGAGAGGAUGGCGGAAUUCCUAGUGUAGAGGUGAAAUUCGUAGAUAUUAGGAAGAACACCGGUGGCGAAGGCGGCCAUCUGGCUCGGUACUGACGCUCAGGCGCGAAAGCGUGGGGAGCAAACAGG
rnacentral:rRNA from 1 species